GUGCUUUGCUUCAGCAGCACAUAUACUAAAAUUGGACCAAUACAGAGAAGAUUAGCAUGACCCCUGCACAAGGAUGACAUGCAAAUUUGUGAAACAUUCCAUAUUUUU
rnacentral:snRNA from 1 species